CUCCCGACUAAGCAGAAGGAGAUACCGUGAUCAAGAAGGUGGUUCACCCAGUGUGGGGCUCAGCCAUUGCACUCUGGCUGUGCUGACCCCCUGUGAAUUUCCCAAAUGUGGAAAUCUCGAUUGCAUAAUUUAUGGUAGUGGGGGACUGUGUCCGCGCUCUCCCCUG